GGCAGCAUGCCAGAGUGGUUAAUGGGUGUGACUCGAAUCAUUCGAUACGAUAUCACAUGGGUUCGCCCGCGCAGGUUCAAAUCCUGCUGCUGUCG